rnacentral:rRNA from 1 species
UGCCAGACUCCUACGGGAGGCAGCAGUGAGGAAUAUUGGUCAAUGGCCGAGAGGCUGAACCAGCCAAGUCGCGUGAGGGAUGACGGCCCUACGGGUUGUAAACCUCUUUUGUCAGGGAGCAAAGGGCGCCACGUGUGGCGCUUUGCGAGUACCUGAAGAAAAAGCAUCGGCUAACUCCGUGCCAGCAGCCGCGGUAAUACGGAGGAUGCGAGCGUUAUCCGGAUUUAUUGGGUUUAAAGGGUGCGCAGGCGGAAUGUCAAGUCAGCGGUAAAAUUUCGGGGCUCAACCCCGUCGUGCCGUUGAAACUGGCGUUCUUGAGUGAGCGAGAAGUAUGCGGAAUGCGUGGUGUAGCGGUGAAAUGCAUAGAUAUCACGCAGAACUCCGAUUGCGAAGGCAGCAUACCGGCGCUCAACUGACGCUCAUGCACGAAAGCGUGGGUAUCGAACAGGAUUAGAUACCCUAGUA